rnacentral:rRNA from 1 species
CCUGGCGGCCUUAGCGCGGUGGUCCCACCUGACCCCAUGCCGAACUCAGAAGUGAAACGCCGUAGCGCCGA